rnacentral:tRNA from 1 species
GGGCCCGUAGCUCAAUUGGCAGAGCAUCCGCCUCAUAAGCGGCUGGUUGGGGGAUCGUGCCCCUCCGGGCCCACCA